rnacentral:snoRNA from 1 species
UUUCCAUAAUGAGGACACUGAGUGGUGUAGCUUUUAAACCUCUCCCAAGCUUCAUAGAAAGUUUCAUUGUGUUUUUUGUGUGAAGCCUGAGAUCUCUUGUUCCUCAAUCU